rnacentral:rRNA from 1 species
AGAGUUUGAUCAUGGCUCAGAGCGAACGCUGGCGGCAUGCUUAACACAUGCAAGUCGCACGAGGGUUUCGGCCCUAGUGGCGGACGGGUGAGUAACGCGUAGGUAUCUAUCCACGGGUGGGGGAUAACAGCGGGAAACUGCUGCUAAUACCGCAUGAUGCCUGAGGGCCAAAGGCGCGAGUCGCCUGUGGAGGAGCCUGCGUACGAUUAGCUAGUUGGUGGGGUAACUGCCUACCAAGGCGACGAUCGUUAGCUGGUCUGAGAGGAUGAUCAGCCACAUUGGGACUGAGACACGGCCCAAACUCCUACGGGAGGCAGCAGUGGGGAAUAUUGGACAAUGGGGGCAACCCUGAUCCAGCAAUGCCGCGUGUGUGAAGAAGGUCUUCGGAUUGUAAAGCACUUUCGACGGGGACGAUGAUGACGGUACCCGUAGAAGAAGCCCCGGCUAACUUCGUGCCAGCAGCCGCGGUAAUACGAAGGGGGCUAGCGUUGCUCGGAAUGACUGGGCGUAAAGGGCGCGUAGGCGGCUUGGUUAGUUAGGCGUGAAAUUCCUGGGCUUAACCUGGGGACUGCGCUUAAUACAGCCAGGCUUGAGUGAGGAAGAGGGUUGUGGAAUUCCCAGUGUAGAGGUGAAAUUCGUAGAUAUUGGGAAGAACACCGGUGGCGAAGGCGGCAACCUGGUCCUUGACUGACGCUGAGGCGCGAAAGCGUGGGGAGCAAACAGGAUUAGAUACCCUAGUAGUCC